AUGAGCUUCCAUUCCAAAUCAUCUUUGAGAGCGGCUAAGCACUCAGCUGUCGAGAAGUUCGUCGCGACUGUGAGCGCCACCCAUUGUUGGAAUUUUCUGAGCGAGAUUGGAUCGGAGAUUGGAGAUAUUGGGAGCGGCGAGAUUGAAAUGGGAAAACGGAUAGUUAUCUGUGUGUCCGAAGAUAGAGAUGGAAUUUGGGUUGCGGAGCGGAAGAGAAGAAGGGAUUUACAGUGA